AACGAACGCUGGCGGCAUGCCUAACACAUGCAAGUCGAACGAGACCUUCGGGUCUAGUGGCGCACGUGUGCGUAACGCGUGGGAACCUGCCCUUAGGUUCGGAAUACCUCCCCGAAAGGGGUGCUAAUACCGGUUAAUGUCUUCGGACCAAAGAUUUAUCGCCUUUGGAUGGGCCCGCGUUGGAUUAGCUAGUUGGUAGGGUAACAGCCUACCAAGGCGACGAUCCAUAGCUGGUCGGAGAGGAUGCUCAGCCACACUGGGACUGAGACACGGCCCAGACUCCUACGGGAGGCAGCAGAGGGGAAUAUUGGACAAGGGGCGAAAGCCUGAUCAAGCAAUGCGGCGUGAGUGAUGAAGGCCUUAGUGUUGUAAAGCUAUUUUACCCGGGAUGAUAGUGACAGUACCGGGAGAAUAAGCUCCGGCUAACUCCGUG
rnacentral:rRNA from 1 species